CGAGCAACAAGUGAGGCAAACGAGACACAGGUGAGGCAAACGAGACACAGGUGAGGCAAACGAGACACAGGUGAGUCAAAUGAGAUGCAGGUGAAACUCAGGGGUGAUAAACGAAGGAGGGAAAACUGAGGAUAUAAAACCAGACUAGAAACACAAGGGCUGUGUCUGAAAUGGACCCCUAACCCCUAUAUACAUGGGAGUCAGCGCCAUUUUCAGGGGUGUCCAAAAUCUCAGUGAUCAACUCCAGUGCCCUAUAUUUGAGGCUACUCAAAAUUUCCCAUAAAGCAUUGCAAAAUGUAGUGACCAGCCGAUGGUCACUCACCGGUGGUGGGCAUCCCGUCAUGCAUUGCGUCAUGCCAUGUAGUGUCCGAAACCUCCAGUGAUUGAGUUCACUACAUAGUCAGCUAUAUAGUAAAAUCCCAUAUGGGGGUUAGGGGUUAGUGAUUCAUUUCGGACACAGCCAAGGAGUCAACUACUGCAAAAUAAAACAGGAAACACUGGAAACUGAUAUAAAGAAUAAAACACAGAGAACAGGAGGGAAACAGGGUCAAACACAAACUGAAAACUAACAAGACUGGACUACAGGGGAACAGGAACAAUAGGAAACAGAAACACUGGAGAGAAUCACAAAGAAAAUACACUCAAAUGACAAAACCAGGGAAAAACUAAAUUCACAGAACAUUUCAUGACAAGGAGCCUGUAUUGAACAUGAUAGUCAUUGAACAUCCACAAAGAGAUGCCAGAACUAAAAAAUGACCAGAAAGAGGCAAACGAUUUGCACAAAAAAUACAAAAGAGCCACAAUUCAGGAAUAAAAUGACUAACAAAAUGCAAACAAAGCUCAAAGAUACGAUCAAAGAGACCACAAGACCAAAGAUUGGGUGUCUUGUGUUUGUGGGGGCGUCUCAAUUGUUAAAGAUUAUUUGAUGAUCUCUCAAUGUUUGCUGAAAGAGAGGUAUGGACCAACAUAUCGAUAAGAGAAUCAGCAAAUUCAGAGGGGGAUCAGAGCUGAGUGAUACUGUAAGACCAGCACUUAUAGUGAAAGGCCUGCUGCCACGAAUAGACGGUCAUGCAUACUAAUGUCAGCAGAGACUGAUGGAGGAGAUGUCUCAGCCUCCAGACACACUGACGGAUAGUGC